rnacentral:rRNA from 1 species
UGACUAGCACCAGGAGGGCCCCCUUAUGAUUGGGAACUUGCCUUUCGGAGGGGGAUAACCAUUGCCAAACGAUGGCUAAUACCGCAUAACGUCUACGGACCAAAGUGGGGGAUCUUCGGACCUCACACCGAGAGAUAGGCCCAAGUGAGAUUAGCUAGUUGGUGGGGUAAAGGCUCACCAAGGCGACCAUCUCUAGCUGUUCUGAGAGGAUGAUCAGCCACACUGGGACUGAGACACGGCCCAGACUCCUACGGGAGGCAGCAGUGGGGAAUAUUGCACAAUGGGGGAAACCCUGAUGCAGCCAUGCCGCGUGUGUGAAGAAGGCCUUCGGGUUGUAAAGCACUUUCAGUGGUGAGGAAGGCUAUCGUGUUAAUAGCACGGUAGAUUGACGUUAGCCACAGAAGAAGCACCGGCUAACUCCGUGCCAGCAGACGCGGUAAUACGGAGGGUGCGAGCGUUAAUCGGAAUUACUGGGCGUAAAGCGUACGUAGGCGGCUCAUUAAGCAAAGAUGAGAAAGCCCCGGGCUCAACCUGCGAAUGGCAUUUUGAACCUGGUGAGCUCGAGUUUUGAAGAGGGUGGUAGAAUUUCCAGCGCAGUCGGUGAAAUUGCCUAGAUAUUAGGAAGGAAUACCAGUGGCGAAAGGCGGUCACCUGGUCAAA